rnacentral:piRNA from 1 species
UGGGAGGGAGCCUUCUGGUGGCCUGGU